rnacentral:rRNA from 1 species
GACGAACGCUGGCGGCGUGCUUAACACAUGCAAGUCGAACGGAAAGGCCCUGCUUUUGUGGGGUGCUCGAGUGGCGAACGGGUGAGUAACACGUGAGUAACCUGCCCUUGACUUUGGGAUAACUUCAGGAAACUGGGGCUAAUACCGGAUAGGAGCUCCUGCUGCAUGGUGGGGGUUGGAAAGUUUCGGCGGUUGGGGAUGGACUCGCGGCUUAUCAGCUUGUUGGUGGGGUAGUGGCUUACCAAGGCUUUGACGGGUAGCCGGCCUGGGAGGGUGACCGGCCACAUUGGGACUGGAAAACGGCCCAGACCCCUCGGGGGGGAAGGGGGGGGGAAAUUUGCCAAAGGGGGGGAAGCCGGAUGCAGCAACGCCGGGGGGGGGAUGAGGGCCUUGGGGUUGUAAACCGCUUUCGCCUGGGACGAAGGGGGGGUGAGGGUAAUGGGUAAAGAAGCCCGGGCUAACUACGG